rnacentral:rRNA from 1 species
GUGAACGCUGGCGGUAGGCCUAACACAUGCAAGUCGCGCGGCAGCACAGUAAGAGCUUGCUCUUACGGGUGGCGAGUGGCGGACGGGUGAGGAAUACAUCGGAAUCUACUUUUUCGUGGGGGAUAACGUAGGGAAACUUACGCUAAUACCGCAUACGACCUACGGGUGAAAGCAGGGGAUCUUCGGACCUUGCGCGAUUGAAUGAGCCGAUGUCGGAUUAGCUAGUUGGCGGGGUAAAGGCCCACCAAGGCGACGAUCCGUAGCUGGUCUGAGAGGAUGAUCAGCCACACUGGAACUGAGACACGGUCCAGACUCCUACGGGAGGCAGCAGUGGGGAAUAUUGGACAAUGGGCGCAAGCCUGAUCCAGCCAUACCGCGUGGGUGAAGAAGGCCUUCGGGUUGUAAAGCCCUUUUGUUGGGAAAGAAAAGCAGCAGGUUAAUACCCCGCUGUUCUGACGGUACCCAAAGAAUAAGCACCGGCUAACUUCGUG